CCGAGAUAAAUCACUACAAAACGAAAAUAUUCCUACAUCAAACUCUCUGUCAUCAACUCCUACCAACAUAAUGUUCAUUCUCAUCAUACCUUUGUAACUUUCCAUCAAGUUUCGCGUGUACACUAGCAACUCGAAGCGUAACUCUAUUACAUCUUCGUCUCGUUAUCCGCGGGAAGAAUAAAGGGAAUCAUGGCUUCCGUUUGAAGCUCGGUUCAUAGAUCAGCUUGCGGUUUCUAUAAUUUCAGAGAUUGAACGCCGCUUAUACGCACCCGCAUCCACGAAAUCACACUGCUCUUGCAGAGAAGGGGGAAAUUAAUAUCCAGGUGAAAUUACCAUUUAUUUCCACGUCCCCGGCAAUCAGGGAAUACGCGGCUAAAUGUUAAUGGAUGACCACUGACAGCAAAUUGAAUACAGGCAUCGAUUUCAAGGCGAUACCCUGCAUGUAUACCACGACGCGCCACUUGAUCAACCGUUGACCUAUCAACUCGUUCGUUCGUAGCGACAUCGCUCGGACAGGAGAUAGAAUACACAUUUCAAAGGAGACUCGUGGGACACCGUAUUGCCACGGGUGGCCAAUUAGAAAUGCGCCAAUAGCCGUGGUUGCGUUAAUGUGCGUGUGUGUCGCCGUUCAUUGACAAGGAGUGCGGGUUUUAUUCGUUCGAUGAAGUAUCGCGAAUGGUCACGCGAUUACCAUCUAAAAGGUAAUAAUAGCGUGCUGCCCGUCACACGUAAUCGUGCAAACGUAUAAUGUUAAUUACGCAGUACAGGAGAUUAAUUCGAUUCGCGGCUGCCUUUUUCACAGUGUGGGAAACAGCAGGCGGAGUGUAAUGGCUGCGCGAAGAUGUAUUUGCAUCCUUCGUUAAAGAUUAUCCUGAUUGCUUGUUACAAUUUUAAUACGUCUUUUUUGGAAUCGUAUUUGUGGGAAAAGAAGAUACAAAUUGGAAUAUUUGGAUAUUCAAGAUAGAUAAUCUGCAGGUCUGAUUCUGAAAGAAGAAAAGCGGGCCGACAAAGAAGAAAAAGCGAUGGUUUAUCGGUGUCAAUGAGAUGCGCGCGGGCCAGAGUCCUGAUCCAAGGUUGUCCACCUGCUGCGCUAUCUAUCCGACACACGGUGUAUCCAACGCAAUAUGUCCACGCCCCGCCACGGGCGCAAUCGCGACUGCGCGUGCGACAGUCUACCUCGAGUGAAGAGACAUCUUGUUUGGAUAAAGUCUAAGUGUGUUCUAAGCGGAUACGUCGUGUCUUGGAAAUCUGUAACAAUCGGAUACGAAGAGGACGAAUCAGAUCCUGAAACACGAGUUAGGAAACAAGAUAACGAGAGACGACGGCCGUUUCACCUGUUCGAACUGUUUCACACUGUUUCACCUGUUGUUUUCGAUCCCGAGACCCGUCACGGGAUUAUUAAGGAUUUCGUGGACACGAGAGAGGGCGCAGCCAGCAAGAAGACCAAUUAAAUUUCGCCCGUCACGAGGCGAAUCCCUCGGUUAAAGAAGCUGCUGCUUGCUUAGGGCCCCCUCGAGAAUAAUGUACCGCAUUCCAAAUGAGGAGAUUUACACAAUCGGGGCGGCGGCGGACCCUCGCCCGAAGCAACAAGUCUUUUUGCCGGAACCGUUCCAGUGAUCGUUCUUUCCUGCGUUUCUUUUUCGCCACCUGGAUCCACCGUCGCGGCAAUUAGGAAGUCCUGAUUUCUGAAUUACGUCCGCAGGCCGUUUUUUUUUUUUUAUCGCUCGAAACAAUCGAUUUCUUCGACUGACAAUCGCGAAAAAGGAAGAGCGGAACGUAAUAACGAGGUUAGUAUUUAUAGGAAUAUUAUAUUAUUUAUAGGAAUAUUGUGUAGAGAUUUUAAAUUAAUCGCGAUAGUUGGCGAUUAUCGCAAGGGAGGAAGGACUUUGAUUAUCUUAUCUCUUUCGAUCUCUUCAAAAAUGUUGGCAAGAUGUUGUUUGCGUAUCCGCCAGCCACGGCGGAACAGGUUUGAAUAUUAAAUGUUUGGAAAUAUCAGUCGCUUUAUUCCGCCUGAUAUUACAGCCGACGUAAAUUUACGUAUUAAACGUUAAAGUGGAUUACGAUUAUCCGCGGAGCCGCGUAAGCGUUCAUCGCUUUGGAAUGUAUAUUAUAUAAAAGGCGGAUUCUUAUUUAAUCGAGGCGGAGAGAAAUAGAUGAGAUGUGAAUGACACGUUACUUGUGGAAACGCACGAUUAUUAAACUCCUCCUCGUUUUUCUUAACUUUUGAAAUUGAAAAAUAAUUUUGUUUCCUUUAUCGAGAAAAAUACGAAGAAAAAAGACUCGCUUGAUAUACGUUAAUUGAUAUCAAUAUUCUGAUAUCAUUGAAUAUUUCAUCGAAUUUUUCUUCUAUAUUUUAUUCUCUACAUUAACCUCAAACCUGAAACUUGAAACUCGAAGUUGAAUUGUGAAGUGCGUGUUUACAAAGAUAAUCUUAUUGCGCGUGAAAUGUUAAAAGUCGCUUAAAAGCUAAAUUAAAUUAGACAAGUUAUCGACUCGUAUUAUCAUUUUUUUUUUUUUUGCCACACGUUCGUCAGAUCCAAAUUUUUCACGUUUAUUUUACUUAUCCUCGUAAUAAUUCUCGUAUUCUUCCGUUCUUCGCGAAAAGUUCCAGCAGCAUCCAUCAUCGUAAUCGGAUAUUCCAAGCAAAAGAUUGCCUUCUCCCUCUAACUAUAUCGAUUAUCCAGCAGGGUCAUUCGAAAAGCGGAUACGUAAUACAUCAUCGUGGGGGGAAUUGCAGCGACCCGACGAGAUGCAACUCGAUUCACGGUACGUGAGGGCAGGUGUUGCCGGUUUAUGGCAAUUUUGCGAACCGGGUUGCAAUUUCGAAAGGCAAAUAACCGACACAGGAUUCGGUGGGCAUGAUUGCGAUAAGUGUGCAUCGGUACGAAAUCCAUCGGGACGCCGAUCGAGGCCGCAUAAUCGCGCCGAUUCCGAGUACGACAUGACGUUUGUAACACGUUGUUUGUAACACGUUGAUGCAUGAACCGGAUAGCAGGAUCGAGGGCACAAGUGUCGAAGUGGAAUGGAUUCGAAAAUGUAAUUUUCGCGUUCUGAUUUAUUCAUUCUUUCGAUCAAAUUUUAGAACGAGUUAUGUGCAAUGAUUCGUGAUAAGGAUAUUGAGAUUGAGGAUAAUUAUGAUUUAGUAAGAAUAUCGAAAUGAUUUCAAGUUAAAAAAAAAAGAUACUAAAUCUAAAUAUUUUAACGAUAAUUCAUAGUUUACUUCGGAUCUAAUUUAAAAAGAUUUUCAUAUACUGUUGAUGCGAAAGUGCUUUCUUAAGCUUUAUCUAAAUUUUAACUUAUUAACUGAAUUAAAUCGAUAUUUUACGUUGUAAUAUAUCGUGAAAAACAUAAUUUAGCAUAUUCAAUCUUAAAGUUAUAUACAUUUAUAUGGUAAUGUUGAGAUUGAAUCGUACGCGUGGGUUAUGAUAACGUUACGAUAUAAACGUUGAAAACUUUCUUAAUCUUUUUUAAAUUGUAAGUAAUCAUGCGUGAAACUUGAAACACGACAUUCUUGAUUUCUUUGAUUCCAUUGAUUCCUUUCCGUAUCCGUCUCCUUAAUUAUCCAACAUACAUCGCGUAUUGUACUGCCUCUAACAUAUUUUUCAUUCAACUGGAAAUCGCAUUAUUGGUUUAUCUUAAUGAUAAAAUUUGAAUCGAAUCAAAUUAUUUCUCAAAAUGUUCAAGAAAUAAUUAAUAAUCCAUCGUUAAAAAUAAAUCGAUUCGAGCAUCGAUUAAAACUAGUAAAAUUUCUUGAAAAGAAAUAUUGUGACACGUUUAUCCACGUACUUUUCUCAACUGUAUAUCUCGCAAACAUCGUACAACUCGAUACGAUUUCCUAUUUUGAUUCACAAACGCGUACGAGGAUCGAAAUAAGAGUCUCGUUUGCGGUUUAUAUAACCGAGGCCAGGCCGAUUCCUUUUCCAGAUCGAAAAGGCGCGCGAGGUUGUUUUUUGCGCGGCGCGCCGUCCAUCCAGAGGUGUGAAACACGAUUACCACGGCGCUUCGCGUCGAAUUUGGUAUCAAUUAACGAGAUCAUCUAGAUACCGUCUUAUAUGGCCAAGUUAUUCGCGAUCGGCGCUCCUUUCCGUUUGGAAAUAACGUUACGCUGCCAGACUCUGCGCGUUCCAUCUCUUCCGCGUUCGACAUAAUUCUCGUUAAAAUGUUUAUUUCAUAUCUGCCUCUACGAGAGGGAUUCAAUUAAUUUCCUUCUCCUUUUCCCCUCUUCUCGCACGCGUUGCCCCAAGAGUUGCUCGAUAAGUCGGAGCAGAUUUUCAACGAACGAGAUAAAAGAGGAUCAUUAAGAAUUUAAAACCGGGUUUCUCCUCUGCCGUUCAAACGCGUAUCCACCUCGACUCGACUUUCUCCGACUGUGCAGUGGAUCGCUUUUAAGAAAAAUCUUUCGAAACGGAUAUACACCGAUGCGAUCAUAACAAAUCGGUCUUUUUUCUUUCUUCUUUUUUUUAAUCCACAAAGUGUCUCAAUUGUGCGAAAAUUUGAUAGAUUUAACGAAUAUAUAUAUUGAAUCGAUAUGACGAUUAAAAAUCGUGGUAAAAUUAAAUUCCACUCCGAUCGAUCUAUAAUUAAUAACACAGUAGUUAGCGUUACACGGCGCCACACCUCCCAUUACCCAACGUCGCGCGACGUUUCAUUACGAUCCCCUAUUACGAUCCAUCCGCUCUACUACCGCCACCGUACGUACGGUACAUCAUAAAGGACACAAGCCCAGCGGCGCGCGCACGUCGCGACGAUACGUAAAACCGAGAGAGAGAGAGAGACAAGUCGGUCGAAUCGAGUGUGUGUGCUGCGCGUGUUUCAUCGUUGACGCGACACGGGGUCACGGGACGAUCCGUGGAAAACACGUGCACGGUGUUGGCACGUCGAUGCAUUAUUGCAUAGCUGUAACACGGUAGACGGAGACAAUAACAGACGUAGCAACGCGGCGUGCACGGUCGAGGAUGUGUUUCGACGCGCACACACGACGCGUCUCUUGGUUCGCACGGGGGGCGGCGAGGGGUGGAGGAAGACAGGGGAGUGCGAGGCGACACACGGCGGACAGAGGAGAGAGGUAAACGCGCGAGGAAGAGAGAGAGAGAGAGAUGCGUUCUCGGUGGGAAAGAAGAGGCCUGUAAGAGUGGAUCGAAGAUGUAAGGGGGCCCGUGCAUCACCUGUGUCGGCCCACGGCUAUUGCCGCUGGCGUGCCGAUGCAACCUGGCGGCCCGAACGAGGGGUGCAACGAGGGAGGGGGAGGGAUCCCUGGCGGAGGGGGUCAGCGCGGGGCCUGUCAGCCGGUGGAGGGGAGGUGGACCGCGCUGCGUGUGUGACAAGUGAGGCCCCGGGAGGUAUCGGUAACCACCACAAUCGCGUGGACGCGUACGUGGCCGAGGGGGAUGUGGGCCGACAGAGGAGUCGGUUGGAGGAUAGAGGAAGAGGCGGCCAUCGAGGAUAGAGGCGAGGAGGGAGAUGGAGUGAUCGAGUAUUCUCUGUUACCUCCGCUGGGGUGGAGGAGGGGGGAGUAGCGUUCUGGAAGCGAGAGAGAGAGAGAGAGAGAGGAAUCGCGCGCGGCUGCCCUCCGGCGCUCGUCCGACGGCAUUCCUUCCACAGGCCGAGUCGCCUCUUCAUUCUUCUUAUCGGCUCCUCUUUCUUCCUCCCCUUUGUAUUCUCGGCCGCCUCUCCUUCCUUCUCGGCUCCCACCACCCCGGCGUUCGAUAGCUCGGGUCCCAAUUUUAACCUCGAAAGACGCCUAAACACCCGACUUUGUCACCUGCCGCCCCUGCUCCACCCUCUCCCCUCGUUCCUUCCUUUUUUUCUCUUUUAACGUUCGUGCUUCACGACCACAUGGAUUGUUGGACCGUGAUUUCGUCCUCGUCGUUCCUCGUCGGUCGAUGAUCUAUCGAUAUCCGGACGAUGUUUCGAACGAUGCCAUUUUUUUUUUUUAGAGAGAGGGGAAAGGUGGGUUUGGAUCAUUUUGCAUCCGGUAUCCCUCUAGCGGCGGAAAUUUGAGUCAGUGGCACGCGUUCUAAGUAAAUACAGAGUUGGUGUACGUGCAUCGUGGCUCCGAGAGCACAGUGACCAAAACGCGCACCUUCGAAGGAGAAAGUUAGGGAGGGGGGAAAAAGAAAAGUUCAAUUGUCCGACUGGUUUCACCUAUCGGACAGUGGAAUUUAAUGCUCGAAAGAGCACACGUUUGGAUAGACGAAGACGAAGAGAUAUGUAAUCCUAAACUAACGAGAUAUAGGUUGGAACGGAGUAAACAAAUUAAGAGCCGAGACUGGUGAGAUUUUCUACGCGACGUUGUGGCAGUGAAUGUUGAGCUGGUUGUAACGUAUCUAGAUGGAUCGAUAAAGUGGAAAAAUGAUUUUCUAUUUAAUUUAUGGAAAUAUCGAAAUGACAUUAAUAACGUAGCAUUCGAAAUUGGAAAGUAACCAACAAACUAAUAUAUUUCAUUAGCUGAAUGUUAUUCGAUAAAACGCGUAGAGAUAUACAAAAUAUGUAAAAGUUUGCCGAGGCGAGAUGGCCCAACGUUGAUAACGCGAGAAUCGAUCAACAUCCGAGUAAUAGCUCGUGACAAGAAUGAUUUCCCGACGAUCGCGUAAUAGAUUCCACGGAGGGAGGAAAAAGAAAAAAAAAAAAAAGAGAUAAGCGGACAGGCCAAUGAAUCUCGUCGGUGUAAUUAAAAGUAAUUUCCUUAAGCAGCCGGGUAUCGGUCCACAGGUUGAAUUUCAACGCGAGAUAACAUCAACGACGCAUAAUUUAUACGAAGCGCAGAAAAACAAAUACAUUUCCGACGGCCGGGUCAUUAUACGUUGCGUUAUUUAUCCUUGAUGAUCAUGAAAUACCGGUUCUCCGCGAGCCGACUUACAGUACAAUAAUUAACGUACGAUAGUAAUAACGAUAAUUUCGAGAUCUCGCGCAGCAUUCCGCGCUACUGGACCAGCAACCGAGCGGGGCUGUUGGCACAUGACCGCGCGGCAGCCCUUCAUUCAUCGAUCCCCUGGCUCGAGGAUCCUAACCUAGAACGACCAUUCGCUCCUUCAGAAUUUUAUAUUCUAUUCAAUACUUCGUCCAGUCGAGAGAAGUUCUGUAUUCAUUAGAUGGACAUCGGUAUCCAUGGAAAGUUCGCACGAAGAAAUGAAAAUGACAAAUUGUCUUGAAAAUUGACGAAAGAAUCGUUUCGAAUUAUUAACAGGUUGAAAGGAGGACGUUGAUGGAACGUAGCAGUCGAGGUGGUAAUUGUUAACAUUGUCUGCAUUUCGCUCUUGGAUUUUUUUCUUUUUCAGAUUCGAAGUUACAGUUUGCUGCCCCGUGGACGUCCUCGUUCCGGUGUACCCAAGAGCUAGAGGCCAUAAGGCCCCUGCGAUCGUUCCGACGCACGUAUAUAUAGGCAGGGAGCAGCGUUGUUGGAAUGAGCGCCGCGGGUCGUUUCCUCGGCGAUUUUUACUCGCGGCAAAUAAUAAAUUAUCGGCCGGCCGUGCGUAAUCGGGCUGGAAUAUAAUCUGCGCAUGGACAACCGUAUCGCGCUGCGGUAGCUACGGAGGCUCCCUCUUAGCCUACAAUCUGUCUUACAUAUUCAUUAUGGCUGCAGGCUGGGCAGGUAUUAUCUUAGAUGGUCGGUUUGGAACAACGUAUAGCUUGUAAUUUUCAGGGGGCCCCAUGGACUCGCCCCUCCUCGCUCUUCCUCCUCUUCGCCCUCCCCUCCUCCUCCCUCCCCUUUCUCCCACACCUUCUAACUUCUAAGUUCUCCCCUGCUUCUUCUCAAUCUCAUCUUUUUUUCCACGUUCCAUUUAAAUGUAUAAAUUGUACAUAUUUCUACCCUUUCAUGCUUGGUAUGAAGAAGUUUUCAAGAUAAAUCUGAUUCAAUUUAAAUGAAGCUUUCACUUGUUGAUCUAAUUGAUUAUAAUCAUAAAAUUGUAAUUUUCAGGGGGCCCCAUGGAUUGCCCCUCUUCCUCCUCUUCGCCCUCCCCUCCUCCUCCCUCCCCUUUCUCCCACACCUUCUAACUUCUAAGUUCUCCCCUGCUUCUCAAUCUCGUCGUCUUUUUUUCCACGUUCCAUUUAAAUGUAUAAAUCGUACAUAUUUCUACCCUUUCAUGCUUGGUAUGAAGAAGUUUUCAAGAUAAAUCUGAUUGAAUUUAAAUGAAGCUUUCACUUGUUGAUCUAAUUGAUUGUAACCAUAAAAUUGUAAUUUUCAGGGGGCCCCAUGGACUGCCCCUCUUCCUCCUCUUCGCCCUCCCCUCCUCCUCCCUCCCUUUUCUCCCACACCUUCUAACUUUUAAAUUCUCCCCUGAUUCUCAAUUCCCUUUGUCUUAUUUCUUUUUCCUCGUUCCAUUUAAAUGUAUAAAUUGUACAUAUUUCUACCCUUUCAUGCAUAAAGGUAUCAAGAAGAUUUCAAGAUAAAUCUGAUUGAAUUUAAAUGAAGCUUUCACUUGUUGAUCUAAUUGAUUGUAACCAUAAAAUUACAAUUAAUAUUACACACUUUGAUCUUGAGAAGAAGUGAUUCACCUGUCAAUUAAUCAAUAAUAACGCGAGACUUUUUUGUAGUUGUGCAAUUUAACUCACACGAGUGAAAAAAUCUUUAAAAUAUUAAAAGUAUUAACGUGGAGCACCAUACAAAUAGCAUGAGAAAAGCAUAAAUGGCCAACUUCUUGAUGACGCGCAUAGGAAUUUCUCUUUUGCUUGAUCAAGCUAUACGCUUUUCGAGUUGCGGUCACCGAAGUCAUUGAGCAAGUAGGCUUAACGACCCGUGGAUUUCGUGCGUGUACACGCAUGCCACCAACACACGAUAUCGACGGUUAACCGUAAUUGCCGACCCUGCGCCCGUCGUCUACCUGCUACUCGACGAUCCUGGUAUUCCCGGAACUCUGAGCGGCGCCUUCUCCGGAGAACAAUCACCGUCCACCGGCCUUGCGAUCGUAUUACCCGCGUCACGGUUUUACUCGUGACGCGCGCUUUGCAUUUAAGAGGCCUGGUACGGCUCGCUUCCACCAGAACUCGCUUUGGAACGAUCGAGAGGACAUCUGGUGUUCUUAUUGGCGGUCAAGGAUCAUUUGCUCGUUUCUUGAAAUUAUUUCCGUUGUUGAAUUCCGCUGCAAAGAUUCUUUUUUUAAAUCGACGUGUGGAUCUUAUGGAGAAAUUGUAACGUAGGAAGAGAGAAAUAAUCGUAAUACGAUAUUAUUAUUUGAAAAUUUAUUUCAAGUAAUGAAAUAUGAAGCUAUCCUCUUUGAAUUGGACGAAGAGUAUAUGGAGAACGGAGGUAAAGGAUGAAACGCUACGAUUGGCCCCUCCCUCCUUAAUAGGUUUGAACGGCUAAUUGAUUUCAGACGAUCUAUAAUCUGUACUAUAAUUAAACCCGAAGUUUCUGUUCGAGAUUA